CCUACGGGUGGCAGCAGUGGGGAAUAUUGGACAAUGGGCGAAAGCCUGAUCCAGCCAUGCCGCGUGUGUGAAGAAGGCCUUCGGGUUGUAAAGCACUUUCAGUGGGGAAGAAAGCCUUGGGGCUAAUACCCUCGAGGAAGGACAUCACCCACAGAAGAAGCACCGGCUAACUCCGUGCCAGCAGCCGCGGUAAUACGGAGGGUGCGAGCGUUAAUCGGAAUUACUGGGCGUAAAGCGCGCGUAGGCGGUCUGAUAAGCCGGUUGUGAAAGCCCCGGGCUCAACCUGGGAACGGCAUCCGGAACUGUCAGGCUAGAGUGCAGGAGAGGAAGGUAGAAUUCCCGGUGUAGCGGUGAAAUGCGUAGAGAUCGGGAGGAAUACCAGUGGCGAAGGCGGCCUUCUGGACUGACACUGACGCUGAGGUGCGAAAGCGUGGGUAGCAAACAGGAUUAGAUACCCUAUGUC
rnacentral:rRNA from 1 species